ensembl:lncRNA
CAGAAGGGCCGUGGAGAGGUGUAGAUGGUGGAGCAGAAGGGCCGUGGGGAGGUGUAGAUGGUGGAGCAGAAGGGCCGUGGGGAGGUGCAGAUGGUAGAGCAGAAGGGCCGUGGAGAGGUGCAGAUGGUGGAGCAGAAGGGCCGUGGGGAGGUGUAGAUGGUGGAGCAGAAGGGCUGUGGGGAGGUGUAGAUGGUGGAGCAGAAGGGCCGUGGGGAGGUGCAGAUGGUGGAGCAGAAGGGCCGUGGAGAGGUGCAGAUGGUGGAACAGAAGGGCUGUGGAGAGGUGCAGAUGGUGGAUCAGAAAGUCCGUGGGGAGGUGUAGAUGGUGGAGCAGAAGGGCCGUGGGGAGGUGUAGAUGGUGGAGCAGAAGGGCCGUGGAGAGGUGCAGAUGGUGGAACAGAAGGGCUGUGGAGAGGUGUAGAUGGUGGAUCAGAAAGUCCGUGGGGAGGUGUAGAUGGUGGAGCAGAAGGGCCGUGGGGAGGUGUAGAUGGUGGAACAGAAGGGCCGUGGAGAGGUGUAGAUGGUGGAUCAGAAAGUCCGUGGGGAGGUGGAGAUGGUGGAACAGAAGGGCCGUGGAGAGGUGUAGAUGGUGGAUCAGAAAGUCCGUGGGGAGGUGUAGAUGGUGGAGCAGAAGGGCCGUGGAGAGGUGUAGAUGGUGGAUCAGAAAGUCCGUGGGGAGGUGUAGAUGGUGGAGCAGAAGGGCCGUGGGGAGGUGUAGAUGGUGGAGCAGAAGGGCCGUGGGGAGGUGUAGAUGGUGGAACAGAAGGUCUGUG